GGGCUGUGGCCUCCCUUGGCAGAUGCGGUCGCCCCGAACCUCGGUUUCCCCAUCCGCAGACAGCGUCCCCUCCAGGGGUUUCUCGCGGCCACAGGAAGCAUCUGGAGUUCUGGGUCAAUUCUGAAGCCACAGGCUCCGUCGGGACGUCAUCCGGAACUCCGGCUGGGUGGUUCCUGAGUCUACACAGCGUGGGCGUCGGCCGCGGCAGCUGCUGGAGGGUGUGCUCUGAGGCCGAGCGUCUAGGGGGACUCGCGUCCCAGCACCCCCCCCUCCCCAACCCCCGUGGAAGGCCCCGCUUGGGGGAAAGCAGGCAUAUGGAACCCAUUUGGGAAAUUCUUUCUGCAUAAACCACUUUUUCCAGGUAAGACGCACACCCGUAUUGACCAUGAAAGAUGAAAUGGCUCUCUCGCUCGGCCGGUUGCGUUUUUAUGGAUCUUAAUUAAACACAUGCCCUCCCCGGGUUGGGAAAUUGUACUCUCUUUGAGCGGCUCUUUCUCAAGAGGUGGUGUUGGCCCAGGGGAGGGCCGAUUAAAACCUCCCGUCCUCACCACCUCCCAGGACCUCCCAGACCCUCCAAGCGCUUGGAAAAUGUGUGCUCGACAGAGGGGCUUUGAUUCCGUGCGCCUGGAGAGCGUUAGACCUGUUUCCAGGCCCAAGGCAAGUGGCGGUCAGAGUCCCAGGCCGUUGGCGGGAAGGCCUUGGGGACCUGGGCUUUCAAACUUCAUUGAGCAUCAGAGCUCUCGUUCACACCCAAGCACACGCAGACCCCCGACGUAAACCAGAAGGAGCUGCUCGGGCAGGAGGGGGAGAGAGUACCCACACCGCCCCCUGCUCACCCCACGGGCAGCCUUGCGGCUAGCCGCGGGGUUUCGGGACUUCUGCAGCCGCGGCCUGUGUGUUCAGGGAGCUUUAAGUGUGUGCCGGUUUUGUGAGGUUUCUUGUCUCAUUUACACUCACAAAAGCCACAUGAAGCAGACGUCACUGAUAUUUCACACUCAGGGGACGUAGGCACAGAGCGGCGGAGUGACCUCUCUGGGGACGCCCAGCUGGGGCGGGAGUGACGUCCGAGUCCUGGGAAGCGGCCGAUGGGCCCGAGGCUCUCUUGGGGCCAUGCUCUUGGCCCAGUGGUGCAUUGCCUUCUCGAGUCAUGGUCCCUGUCUUUUAGGGGCCCCCCUCUGUGUUAGGCUGAGUGGCCCCCAUGCGGACACCUGACCCGUCUGCAGGAAGGGGGACGGCGGCAGGGUCGGCCGAUCCAGAAGCCCCUGGAUGUCGGGGAUCUGGGUGCAGGGGGGUGGUGGUCUCGUCUGGCACCACGUCCCUACGUGGCAGCGUCUGGGGUGGGGAAGGGACACCUUGCGUGACGUUUUCUUUCACCGGCAAGAUUCAUGAGCCUUCCCAGCGUCGCGCUGGUCAGGGCCGUGUCUCACGCCGUGUCUGAUGCCUGGCGGGGUGAGACCGACGGGCUCUUUGGCCCGUGAGGCGCAGCACAGCCAACACGUGGGCAAAACCGGGGCUCUUCUGGCCAGGAGGAGAGGGGACACCUGGGAGGCAGGCAGCAGCCGAGUCGGCCGGAUGAUGUGGGCGGGGACACCAAGGGCAGGGUGAUUGCCGGAGGGUCCUCCAGGCUAAAGGACCAGGGGAGGGGGCGGCCAGCAGGGUGAGUGGUUGCUACCGUGGCCAGCGGGCUGCGGUGGGCCCUUCCCAGAGCUUCAGAGGAGUCAGCCUUCUCUUCGGGGGUCCCUCAAAGAAGGGGGUACAGGUGCAUAUUGCGUAAACUUUGCAUGCGUGCUGUCCUUCCUUCUGGCCUUCCUCCCCUUCCUCCCACUGACCCCCAUCUCCUCAUCCCUGCAUGCCUCCAACCCCCAUCCCUGUAUCAUUGCAUCCCUCCAACCCCCAUCCCUACAUCCCUCCAACCCUCAUCCCUACAUCCCUCCAACCCCCAUCCCUUCAUCCCUGCAUCCCUCCAACCCCACUCCCUGUAACACUGCAUCCCUCCAACCCCCAUCCCUGCAUCCCUCCAAUCCCCAUCCCUUCAUCCCUGCAUCCCUCCAACCCCAUCCCUUCAUCCCUGCAUCCCUCCAACCCCAAUCCCUGUAACACUGUAUCCCUCCAACCCCCAUCCCUGCAUCCCUCCAACCCCCAUCCCUUCAUCCCUGCAUCCCUCCAACCCCACUCCCUGUAACACUGCAUCCCUCA